rnacentral:lncRNA from 1 species
AACUCCCUUGUCCAGCAACAGAAAAAAAACGUAGCACAGAGGGAAGGAAAAACAAACUCUUCCUUGUCUGUCCCAUGCCUUGGCUUGCAGUAGUGGAAGUUAAGAGACGUGCCAGACCUAGGCAUCUGAGAGCCAACAACUGAGCUGUGCCUGAAGGAGGAACUACUGGAGUGGAACGCAUCAGUCAAGCCAAGAGCCACCAGCCAGAAUGCCACUGUGGGAGAACAUCUGGUACCACUGAAAGAAACUAGGGGCUGGAAAAGCCAGGGGUGGACUGAACAAACAGUGAGCCGGCACGGGAUGCAGUGGAGCAUGUUCAUCGGUACGAGUGUUGGACAAUGGAACCAAAACAAUUGCUUUUGUGGGAGUUCGGCUCAUU